GGAGAGUUGCCGGAGUGGUCGAACGGGGCGGUCUCGAAAACCGUUGUACCCUUCUCGGGUACCAAGGGUUCGAAUCCCUUACUCUCCG
rnacentral:tRNA from 1 species